UACGGCCACAUCAUAUUGAAACACCAGUUCCCAUACAUUCACCGAAGUUAAGCAAUGUCUCGUCAGUAUCUAGAUGGGUAACCGCUUGGGAAUACCUGGUGUUGUAAG